rnacentral:sRNA from 1 species
AAGGAAAUGCUCUUCAUA